CCAGUGUUUGUGAGUGGCUUUUCUCUCUUGUUAACACUGGAUACUAUAAUUCUUUUACAUCUGUGCUUAUCUAGUAAUAUAAAAGUAUAUCAUUUUAAUGUGCAUUUCUAUGUUUAUUGUUAAGUUGAACAAUUUUUUCAUAUGUUUAUUGACUAUCUGAGAUUCUACUUUUGUGAAUUGCCUGUUCAUGGCCUUUGUCGAUUUUUCUAUUGUUAAUUAUUAUUAUUAUUCUGUUGUUAAUGUUUUUCAGACUGAUAUCCUCACUGAAUCUCAUAUCUUGGGGCUAUUACUGCUCAUUUGGCAAAUUCUUGAUUUUUAAAUUCAUUUUUAAAAUUCAUGGCAUCCAAAAUUCCAAGUGAAAAAUGGUAAAUUUUGUAUGGGCAAAGAAGUGCAGGGGCACAUAAAGAUAUAGGAGUGGACCUUAGGGAAAGAUCCAGGGUGUUCCUAGAUGUUAUUUAAAAUAGUAGCUAAAUUACAGCAUGAGUGAAUAGGAUUACACAUAAAAAUAUAUUUUCUAAUAGUUAACAUUUUAAGGUGUUGGCCAUGUUCUAGAACAGGAUGCUGAGAUCUUCUUCUGAAGGACUUUGUAAACGCGUUACAUACCUUACUGUCUGGCUUGCAUAAUCCGAAGGGAUGGGCCGGAUGACUGCUCAAGAUGUCCCUUGUCCAAAGCAAUUAUUUCCUUCUAUUUUCACACAUGAGCUUGAGGUAUUUACUGGGAUGGGGUUGCAGAAGAGGAAAAGCCUGCAAGUUUCUUCUUGUUUUUUUAGCAAAACCAACCACAUUUUUAUUCACCUAUGAAGUCAUCAAAAGGCUGAAGUUUGAAAUAGUUCUGGCCAUUCUGAAGGUAAAAUAAUGCAAUUUCCAGCUUGUUUCCGUACUGUGGUUUUGGGAAUAUCAGUAGGGUCUAAGUUUAGUCAUUAUAAUAUAAAAAAGUCUCUUUUUAGGGAAAAAAAUAAUUCAAAGGCUGGCUAUACAUUAGAGCACACAUAAGAUAUAGCUAAGAAAGAAAAUGAUUCUGUUACAUUUUGGCCAUAUAAUACUGCCCAUGAAUAGACAG
rnacentral:lncRNA from 1 species